rnacentral:rRNA from 1 species
GACGAACGCUGGCGGCGUGCUUAACACAUGCAAGUCGAACGGAAAGGCCCUGCUUUUGUGGGGUGCUCGAGUGGCGAACGGGUGAGUAACACGUGAGUAACCUGCCCUUGACUUUGGGAUAACUUCAGGAAACUGGGGCUAAUACCGGAUAGGAGCUCCUGCUGCAUGUUGGGGGUUGGAAAGUUUCGGCGGUUGGGGAUGGGCUCGCGGCUUAUCAGCUUGUUGGUGGGGUAGUGGCUUACCAAGGCUUUGACGGGUAGCCGGCCUGAGAGGGGGACCGGCCACAUUGGGACUGAGAUACGGCCCAGAGUAGUACGGGAGGCAGCAGUGGGGAAUAUUGCACGAUGGGCGGAAGCCUGAUGCAGGAACGCCGCGUGCGGGAUGACGGCCUUCGGGUUGUAAACCGCUUUCGCCUGUGACGAAGCGUGAGUGACGGUAAUGGGUAAAGAAGCACCGGCUAACUACGUG